CAGGCUUAACACAUGCAAGUCGAGGGGCAGCAUGGUCUUAGCUUGCUAAGGCCGAUGGCGACCGGCGCACGGGUGAGUAACACGUAUCCAACCUGCCGUCUACUCUUGGACAGCCUUCUGAAAGGAAGAUUAAUACAAGAUGGCAUCAUGAGUCCACAUGUUCACAUGAUUAAAGGUAUUCCGGUAGACGAUGGGGAUGCGUUCCAUUAGAUAGUAGGCGGGGUAACGGCCCACCUAGUCUUCGAUGGAUAGGGGUUCUGAGAGGAAGGUCCCCCACAUUGGAACUGAGACACGGUCCAAACUCCUACGGGAGGCAGCAGUGAGGAAUAUUGGUCAAUGGGCGAGAGCCUGAACCAGCCAAGUAGCGUGAAGGAUGACUGCCCUAUGGGUUGUAAACUUCUUUUAUAAAGGAAUAAAGUCGGGUAUGCAUACCCGUUUGCAUGUACUUUAUGAAUAAGGAUCGGCUAACUCCGUGCCAGCAGCCGCGGUAAUACGGAGGAUCCGAGCGUUAUCCGGAUUUAUUGGGUUUAAAGGGAGCGUAGAUGGAUGUUUAAGUCAGUUGUGAAAGUUUGCGGCUCAACCGUAAAAUUGCAGUUGAUACUGGAUAUCUUGAGUGCAGUUGAGGCAGGCGGAAUUCGUGGUGUAGCGGUGAAAUGCUUAGAUAUCACGAAGAACUCCGAUUGCGAAGGCAGCCUGCUAAGCUGCAACUGACAUUGAGGCUCGAAAGUGUGGGUAUCAAACAGGAUUAGAUACCCUGGUAGUCCACACGGUAAACGAUGAAUACUCGCUGUUUGCGAUAUACUGCAAGCGGCCAAGCGAAAGCGUUAAGCAUUCCACCUGGGGAGUACGCCGGCAACGGUGAAACUCAAAGGAAUUGACGGGGGCCCGCACAAGCGGAGGAACAUGUGGUUUAAUUCGAUGAUACGCGAGGAACCUUACCCGGGCUUAAAUUGCAGAUGAAUUACGGUGAAAGCCGUAAGCCGCAAGGCAUCUGUGAAGGUGCUGCAUGGUUGUCGUCAGCUCGUGCCGUGAGGUGUCGGCUUAAGUGCCAUAACGAGCGCAACCCUUGUUGUCAGUUACUAACAGGUUCUGCUGAGGACUCUGACAAGACUGCCAUCGUAAGAUGUGAGGAAGGUGGGGAUGACGUCAAAUCAGCACGGCCCUUACGUCCGGGGCUACACACGUGUUACAAUGGGGGGUACAGAGGGCCGCUACCACGCGAGUGGAUGCCAAUCCCAAAAACCUCUCUCAGUUCGGACUGGAGUCUGCAACCCGACUCCACGAAGCUGGAUUCGCUAGUAAUCGCGCAUCAGCCACGGCGCGGUGAAUACGUUCCCGGGCCUUGUACACACCGCCCGUCAAGCCAUGGGAGCCGGGGGUACCUGAAGUGCGUAACCGCGAGGAGCGCCCUAGGGUAAAACUGGUGACUGGGGCUAAGUC
rnacentral:rRNA from 1 species